rnacentral:snRNA from 1 species
AGCUUUUCUUUGCCUUUUGGCUUAGAUCAUGUGUAGUAUCUGUUCUUGUCAGUUUAAUCGCUGAUAGCCCUGCAUUGCAGGACACACCCGAUUAUCCAAUUUUUAAUACUCGUGACUUGGCCUCUAUGCUUGCAUAUGCCUCGUUGCACUGUGUCACUGGGCUUACACUACCCCCGGUUGAUGCGACCCCUU